AGUGAACGCUGGCGGUAGGCCUAACACAUGCAAGUCGAACGGCAGCACAGUAAGAGCUUGCUCUUACGGGUGGCGAGUGGCGGACGGGUGAGGAAUACAUCGGAAUCUACUUUUUCGUGGGGGAUAACGUAGGGAAACUUACGCUAAUACCGCAUACGACCUACGGGUGAAAGCAGGGGAUCUUCGGACCUUGCGCGAUUGAAUGAGCCGAUGUGGGAUUAGCUAGUUGGCGGGGUAAAGGCCCACCAAGGCGACGAUCCGUAGCUGGUCUGAGAGGAUGAUCAGCCACACUGGAACUGAGACACGGUCCAGACUCCUACGGGAGGAAGCAGUGGGGAAGAUUGGACAAUGGGGGCAAGCCUGAUCCAGCCAUACCGCGUGGGUGAAGAAGGCCUUCGGGUUGUAAAGCCCUUUUGUUGGGAAAGAAAAGCAGCAGGUUAAUACCCCGCUGUUCUGACGGUACCCAAAGAAUAAGCACCGGCUAACUUCGUG
rnacentral:rRNA from 1 species